UACGAGGGGGGCGAGCGUUGUUCGGAAUUAUUGGGCGUAAAGAGCUUGUAGGCGGUUUGUCGCGUCUGCUGUGAAAUUUCGGGGCUCAACCCCGAGCUUGCAGUGGGUACGGGCAGACUAGAGUGUGGUAGGGGAGACUGGAAUUCCUGGUGUAGCGGUGAAAUGCGCAGAUAUCAAGAGGAACACCGAUGGCGAAGGCAGGUCUCUGGGCCACUACUGACGCUGAGAAGCGAAAGCAUGGGGAGCGAACAGG
rnacentral:rRNA from 1 species